rnacentral:rRNA from 1 species
GCCAAUCACAGCCCUAACCCCCAUCAAAAUAAUUAUCUCAACAAACAAAAAAAACAUUUAACCUAUCACAGUAUAGGAGAUAGAACAGAUAAAUAGGCGCAAUAACAUUAAGUACCGUAAGGGAAAAAUGAAAGACCAAUUAAAAGCACCAAAAAGCAAAGAUUUAACCUUUUACCUUUUGCAUAAUGAUUUAGCCAGUUAAACCGGGCAAAAAGAAUUACGCCCGCCUCCCCGAAAUCAAGUGAGCUACUAUAAAACAGUACAUCAGAACCAACUCGUCUAUGUAGCAAAAUAGUGAGAAGAUUUUAUAGUAGAGGUGAAAAGCCAACCGAACUUGAAGAUAGCUGGUUGUCCAAAACAUGAAUUUUAGUUCAACUUUAAAUUUUAAUCAAAGUCCUAACAACCAUAAUUUAAAUUUAAAAUAUAAUCCAAAGAGGGACAACUCUUUAGAUCAUGUGAACAAACUUUCUUAGAGGAUAAUGUACAUUAUAGCAAACAUUGUGGGCCUAAAAGCAGCCAUCAAUUAAGAAAGCGUUAAAGCUCAAACCUACCCAUAUCUUAAUACCAACAAUCCUACCAAAUUCCCUAACCCCAUAUUGGACGAUUUUAUUAACUUAUAAAAGACAUAAUGCUAAAAUCAGUAACAAGAAAUUAUUCUCCUAGCACAAGCCUACAUUAGUAACGGAACAACCACUAACAAUUAACAAACAAAUAACAAUAAUCACAAACUAGCAAAAUUAUAAACACAUUGUUAACCCAACACAGGAGUGCAUCUAGGAAAGAUUAAAAAGAAUAAAAGGAACUCGGCAAACAAAAACCCCGCCUGUUUACCAAAAACAUCACCUCUAGCAUACCAAGUAUUAGAGGCACUGCCUGCCCAGUGAGUUAAACUUUAACGGCCGCGGUAUCCUGACCGUGCAAAGGUAGCAUAAUCACUUGUCCCUUAAAUAGAGACUAGUAUGAAUGGCAUGACGAGGGUUUAACUGUCUCUUAUCCUUAAUCAGUGAAAUUGACCUUCCCGUGCAGAGGCGGGAAUAUCCUUACAAGACGAGAAGACCCUAUGGAGCUUAAGAUUCAUAGUCUAACCUAACUUAACAAAACCCUACAUGGAACAAUAUAAUGGCUAACUAGACUAUAACCUUUGGUUGGGGUGACCUCGGAGCACAAUAGAACCUCCGAAUGACAUAACUUAGAUCUACUAAUCCAAGUGUGACACCACCAGUAAUUGACCCAUAUAUUGAUCAACGGAACAAGUUACCCUAGGGAUAACAGCGCAAUCCUAUUCAAGAGCCCAUAUCGACAAUUAGGGUUUACGACCUCGAUGUUGGAUCAGGACAUCCAAAUGGUGCAACCGCUAUUAAUGGUUCGUUUGUUCAACGAUUAAAGUCCUACGUGAUCUGAGUUCAGACCGGAGAAAUCCAGGUCGGUUUCUAUCUGUAUAUUAAUUUCUCCCAGUACGAAAGGACAAGAGAAAUAAGGCCUACGCUACUAACGAGCCUUAGAAAUAAGAUAUGAACAUAUCUAAAUAUCUUAAUUCAAUAACUUAAUGCUCUAGAAAAGAGCUA